rnacentral:rRNA from 1 species
GACGAACGCUGGCGGCGUGCUUAACACAUGCAAGUCGAACGGAAAGGCCCUGCUUGCAGGGUACUCGAGUGGCGAACGGGUGAGUAACACGUGGGUGAUCUGCCCUGCACUUCGGGAUAAGCCUGGGAAACUGGGUCUAAUACCGGAUAGGAGCCAUCUUUAGUGUGAUGGUUGGAAAGUUUUUUCGGUGUAGGAUGAGCUCGCGGCCUAUCAGCUUGUUGGUGGGGUAAUGGCCUACCAAGGCGGCGACGGGUAGCCGGCCUGAGAGGGUGGACGGCCACAUUGGGACUGGGAUACGGCCCAGACUCCUACGGGAGGCAGCAGUGGGGAAUAUUGCACAAUGGGCGCGAGCCUGAUGCAGCGACGCCGCGUGGGGGAUGACGGCCUUCGGGUUGUAAACUCCUUUCGCUAGGGACGAAGCUUUUUGUGACGGUACCUAGAUAAGAAGCACCGGCUAACUACGUG